GUGGGGAAUAUUGGACAAUGGGCGGAAGCCUGAUCCAGCCAUGCCGCGUGUGUGAAGAAGGCCUUAUGGUUGUAAAGCACUUUAAGCGAGGAGGAGGCUACUUUAGUUAAUACCUAGAGAUAGUGGACGUUACUCGCAGAAUAAGCACCGGCUAACUCUGUGCCAGCAGCCGCGGUAAUACAGAGGGUGCAAGCGUUAAUCGGAUUUACUGGGCGUAAAGCGAGCGUAGGCGGCUAAUUAAGUCAAAUGUGAAAUCCCCGAGCUUAACUUGGGAAUUGCAUUCGAUACUGGUUGGCUAGAGUAUGGGAGAGGAUGGUAGAAUUCCAGGUGUAGCGGUGAAAUGCGUAGAGAUCUGGAGGAAUACCGAUGGCGAAGGCAGCCAUCUGGCCUAAUACUGACACUGAGGUGCGAAAGCAUGGGGAGCAAACAGGAUUAGAAACCCCAGUAGUCC
rnacentral:rRNA from 1 species